rnacentral:ncRNA from 2 species
AAAUCAUCAAGAGCGGUGGAGGGACUGGCCCUGUGAUACCCGGCAACCUACUUAAAAUCUUUAGUAAGGUGCUAAUUCCAGCAUUCCGGAAAGGAAUGAUAGAUGAGAG